UACGUAGGGGGCAAGCGUUGUCCGGAAUCAUUGGGCGUAAAGAGCGUGUAGGCGGCUUGGUAAGUCCGCUGUGAAAGUCCAGGGCUCAACCCUGGAAUGCCGGUGGAAACUGUCAAGCUUGAGUCCGGAAGAGGCGAGUGGAAUUCCUGGUGUAGCGGUGAAAUGCGUAGAUAUCGGGAGGAACACCUGUGGCGAAAGCGGCUACUGGACCAUAACUGACGCUGAUGCACGAAAGCGUGGGUAGCAAACAGG
rnacentral:rRNA from 1 species